rnacentral:rRNA from 1 species
AUAAUGGGUCAGCGACUUAUAUUCUGUAGCAAGGUUAACCGAAUAGGGGAGCCGAAGGGAAACCGAGUCUUAACUGGGCGUUAAGUUGCAGGGUAUAGACCCGAAACCCGGUGAUCUAGCCAUGGGCAGGUUGAAGGUUGGGUAACACUAACUGGAGGACCGAACCGACUAAUGUUGAAAAAUUAGCGGAUGACUUGUGGCUGGGGGUGAAAGGCCAAUCAAACCGGGAGAUAGCUGGUUCUCCCCGAAAGCUAUUUAGGUAGCGCCUCGUGAAUUCAUCUCCGGGGGUAGAGCACUGUUUCGGCAAGGGGGUCAUCCCGACUUACCAACCCGAUGCAAACUGCGAAUACCGGAGAAUGUUAUCACGGGAGACACACGGCGGGUGCUAACGUCCGUCGUGAAGAGGGAAACAACCCAGACCGCCAGCUAAGGUCCCAAAGUCAUGGUUAAGUGGGAAACGAUGUGGGAAGGCCCAGACAGCCAGGAUGUUGGCUUAGAAGCAGCCAUCAUUUAAAGAAAGCGUAAUAGCUCACUGGUCGAGUCGGCCUGCGCGGAAGAUGUAACGGGGCUAAACCAUGCACCGAAGCUGCGGCAGCGACGCUGAUGCGUUGUUGGGUAGGGGAGCGUUCUGUAAGCCU